AAGAGUCAUUUUUAUGUCAGAUAGAGACUCUGUUUUUGCAAGUAAACUAUGAAGCAAUUUAGCAAUACUUAGCUUCUCUUUAACAUCAAUUAGCUUCUCUUUAAAAGCUAAAUAUUUCUCAUAAAUCUCCCAAAUACACUGUAACUCCUUCAGAGUCUCAUCUUCUUCUCCUUCUACAGUGGGUUGUUUUGGCUUUGGCUUUGGCUUUUGAUGCCUUAACACCAGGGGGACGAGGUUGAUCAUUUUACACAGAGGAUGAGGACUCUGUAGAGUGUUCAUCACACUUUGUUCUCUUUAGUGGUCCAUUGUCUUCAAUAGAAAACGAUUCCCACCACUUCAAAUCAUGGCGAAGCUCCCUCCAAGCAUGCUCAAGGAUCUUGUAGCUUGAGACUUGCGGCAAAGUAGUCUGCUAUGCGUUGCCAGAAUGCUGUGGCUUUUUGCCUAUUCGAUACAACAAGAUUCUUGGAGGUGUUGAGCCAACACUGUUGAGGAUUACAUCUUUUGUUGGUGACCAUUUGCGUCUUGAUUUACGGUCUAUAAUUGGUUCUUCAACUUGGCCAUGAUCAAUCCAAGGUGUACUAAAGGAAAAUCCAUCAUACUGAUUUGGUGGAAGCAUGUGGUUAUUUUGUUGAUUGUUAAAGAGGUUUAAAAUGCUUGAAGGAAUCCAUAUCAACUUUUUUCUGGUGUGUGUUAAAAGGAAAAAAAAUUAAAGAAGUUUAUGGUUCUAUGCUUUAAAAAGACAAUGAAGGAAAGAGCUUCAGUGUUUAAUAAAGCUUUAGUGUUAAGUUGAA